ensembl:lncRNA LINC02389 long intergenic non-protein coding RNA 2389
CCAUAAAAUCUGGGAGCCCAAGCAGCAUAUUUGUGGGAUUUGUCUGACAGAACGCAAUGGAAACAGAGCGUGGCAUUCGCUCCAUCUCCCCCAGGCAAGGAAAGCAUCUUUUGGGACCAUCAAAUGCAUCCUGUUCCUGAAGGAGCAGAAACAGUGAAAGCGGACACUUGUCUCAGCUGGCCUCUGUCUCUAGCAUGAAAUCCCUGGAGAGUGAUUUUGCAGCCCCUCUUCCAGAACACAGCUUCUGCAAACAAGCUUCUCUUACUCUAUGUCUCCACCAAAUGAGGUACUUCUGCAUCUACUUCUGCUCACAGAACUGCCUAGGUGGUCCACCAAGAAGGAAAAUUGUUUACUCUGGUAUCUUCCUAAGAAACUGUACACUUAAAUUGUUUUGUCUUCAAGGAGAUUCAUAGAAAGGACUCUAACAAGUUUCUGAUAACUUUAAGAUUAUACCAUUAAACUAGCAGGUAAAGGAAGAUUUUCAUGAUUCACUGACUGAGGACAAUCAAAUUCUUCACCACGUAGAACCUAGACAUUGGGUCUUUGGAAAGGACAUCAGAGAAAGACUGCCAUUAAGCUCCAUUGGAAGAGACCAUAUCAAGUUCUUUUCUGCAGCAAACCAUCAGGCUCUCAAGUCUUGGAUCUAUGUCUCUCAACUCAAAAGAGCUCCUCCAGACUCCUGGAACUGUAUACCUAUUGGAGACUCUAAGGUAAAGCUCACCAGGGAAGAUUUCCCCCAGGAGCAGUUGGCAUCCUAGACUUCAACAGCUUUCGUAAGAUUGUGGAUCAAGACUUCUCUGCCAUCAUGAAAGUCUUAUCUUUUCCCUUUCUUCCCAAUUUCCUGCUGUCCCAGUCCCUUUCUUUUACUUAUAGGAAAAUCCAUGGGGCCAUAAUCUGUGGAUGGCUUUAGCUAAGUCUUAUGCUGUAGUGAAAAAACAGAGCAAUUGUUGGGUUUAUGAAGAUAAGCUAGUUUCUACUGAGGAAAGAUUCCAGUGGCAUUCCUGGGGGCUCAGUCUUGGUACUAGCAGGGUACUGGUAGUAUGGAAUUUGAAAGUAAUCCAUAAAAUGAGAAAAAUCUUGGGUUUGACCAACCAGUCCCCACAGAGGUUCAGGUGAGUAGAAGUCAUCUUUUGAAAACACUUAAUAAAACAUCAUGCAGUUUUGGAUCCUGUUUCCUUAGACACUGCCACCAAAUACAUAAAGGAAAUUUCUCAGAGGAAAGAAACAUAUGACAUGUUCAUAGGAGCAGCAAACCAUUGGUUUGCAGGUAGGCUUGGCUUUUCCAAGGUGUUCUAACCUUUAUGCUCUUCUAAUGGUUCUCCAGAUUACUAUGACUUGUGUUAACAAGAUAAUGACAACAUUGGAUACCUCUUUAAAUCAGCAAACUGCAGUUCUUAAUCAUUAUCACCUCCUGAACAAAAACCAUGACCAACGGUACUCAAAUGCUUUUGAGCUGCCUGUAAGGGAGGAGACCACCCCUCAUAUUGUCUUAUGCCCAAUUUCUGCCUCCAAAUAAAGAAGAAGUAAAAACUAAAAGGCAGAAACGAAAUCCACAAGCAGACAGCCCGGUGCCACACCCUGGGCCUGGUAGUUAAAGAUCGAUGCCUGACCUAAUCAGUUAUGUUAUCUAU